CCAUGCAGAACUGUGAGUCUGUUAAGCCUCUUUUCUUUAUAAAUUACCCAGUCUUGGGUAUGUCUUCAUAGCAGCAUGAGAAAGUAGUAAUAUAAGAUACUGGUAAAAACCAAUAUUUUUGAAAAAUGAAAUACAGUCAUUGAAAUUAAAAACUCAGUUGGCAGUUUAAAUAAGAAAAGAGAUAUGACUAAAGAAAAAAUUAGUGAAUUGAAAGACGAAUAUGAGGAAAUUACUAAUAAUGCAGUGUAUAGAGACAGAACUGGAAAAUAUGAGAGGAUAACUUUCAUAUGUGUUUCAUAAAUAUCCCAUAAAAACAUUAAAAUAAAUAAGGAAGAGACAAAUUUUAAGGAAAUAAUUGCUGAGUUUUUCAGAAGUCUUUAAAGACAGAUCCCUCAGAUUCAAGGAGUAUACUGAGUCAUGAGCAGGAAGAUAUGAAUUUAAAUCCAUACCUGAACACAUUACAGUGAAUCACAGAAUAUUAAAGAUAAAAUAUUAAAAACUACCAGAGAGCAAAGCAGAUCAACUCCAAAAGAAAAAUCAGUGCACAGAAAAGUUCUUAAAAACAGUUAUAGAGAUCAGAAGAUAAUGAAUUAAUGAAGUUAAAUUGCUGAGGGAAAAAUACCAAUAUAAAAGUAUAUAUAUAACGAAGCUGUUAUUCAAGAAUAAGGAUGAAAUAAUAACAUCUUAAUUCAUAGAAAACCUGAAUAAGAACCAUAAACUUAAAAAGUAUGCAUUUUAGCAAAAAAUAAACCUACAGAGGAAAAUAUAUAUCACAAGAAAUAGUAGUAAAUAAUUAUUAAACACGUGUAAAUCUAACAAGAUUUGAUUAUGUAAAAUAACUACAAUUGACUUAGAGACCAUUAAAAAGUUCCAAGUAAGUAAAAAAUAUUAAAAUGAGGUUUAACUAAACUAUUAGAUAGCUACAUCACAGAAGGUGGGAGAGAAUGAUUGGACUUACAGCAAGUCUACUUGUUUGCAUAGUUCAUGAGAAUAGUUAAAAUAUUCAUUGAGAUUAGAAUGAAGAUAUGCAUGCACCUAAAUAUUAACAUGUUAUUAGUGAAAGACAAGAAGUACAGUAUAUAAUCUACAAAUGCUUAGAGAGGAAAGGGGGGGCAUUAAAAAACUUAAUUCCUAAAAGAGAAAAAACAAGGAGAGGCAAAGAAAAGAAGCAAAACCAAGCAAAACAGGACGAAAAACAAUGAAUGGUAGGGUAUAAAACUCAAAAUUACACAAUAGGAAUUGAAUUUUUAAAUGACUAAUUACAACAAGCUAAUUUAAUUUGUUAAUUAAAAGACCAGGAUUUUAAAAUUGAAUUUCUAAAAAUUCAAUUAUAUGUUGUUUAAACUAAAAAAAGGUAAAGAUAUAGAAGAAACUAACCAGAAGAAAACUGGUAUAGCCAUUAUUACUGUCAGAUAAAAUAGAUUUUAAGGUUAAAAAUAAUUAUUAGAGAUAAAGAGGGUCACUACAUCAUGGAAGAAGAAUGAUUUAAGAAAGAUAUAUGAAAUUCUAAAAUUAUGUAUAUUAAACUAUGUAACCUAAAAAUAAAUACAGCAAAAAAUGAGAGAAUUAUCAGGUGAAACAGAAAAAUCUACAAUGAGAAUUAACGUUUUAAUGCAUUUAUCUCAGAAAUUAACAAAUCAAAUAGAAAAAUUAUUAUAUGUAUAUAAUUUUUAAAUGAGAAAAUCCACACGAUUGAUUAUAUACUAGUUAGAAUCUAUGAAAUCCUUAUUUCAUAAUCAGAGAACAUACAUUGUUUUUACACAUCCAUGGGAAAUUUAUAAACAUUGACCUCAAUAUGCAAUGAAGCAAAUUUUUAAAGUAUCAAAUAGCAUACAUAGUGAGAUUAUGUUCUUUUAACACAAUAUUUUUAAUAUUGAAAGUAACAAUUUUAAGUUAAUUCUAAAUGUAUAUGUUUUAAAACAUUUGGAACAUUAAAGACACACUUUUAAGUAUAAACAGAAAUCAUAGAACAGGGCAAAAUUGAAGACUGUUAGAAAUGAAUGAAAAUAAAAAUACUAUACCACAAAAUGUUGCACUUACUAAGUCAGUACUUAAAAACACACAUUAAAAUCAUCUUCAAGAAAUUAUGAAAUAAUUCAGAAAACUCUCUUUGGGAAAUUAUAAAAUAAACAAACAAAUAAAAUAUUUACAAAAAUCACACAAUUUAUGUUAACAAAAAAUUGGACAUAGUUAAACUAUGGUAUAUUCAGGUGAUGAAAUAUGAUGUAGCUAUUAAAAAUGAUGUUUUAGGGUCAUAUAGAAAAUUCUUGAUACAGUUUCAAAGAGAAAAAAGCAAUAUACAAAAUGAUAUACACAUGUCAUGGUGCCAGGUUUAUAAAAUAUUUAAUAAAUGUAAAUAUUAAAUAUUCAUUGUAAGGAAAUAAAUCUUAACAUAAAUGGUGAUUUUCACCAGGUGGAUGAUUGGGUGAUUUUUAAAAUACAAUUUUAGUUUUACAAACAGCAAAAUGAGCAAGUAUUAAUUUCUAGUAAAAAGCGAAAAUUGUCCAUAUGCAAGUAUGAAAUGUGAAAUUAUCAGGACAUUAAGGAGUCAAGCAAAAGUUCGAGACAUAUGCAGGUGCACAGUGCCACCUCUUUGGCUUUUCAAUGGUAAGUCCUUUUAGGUCACCUCAAAGUUCAAUAAAUAAAAGCUAAACUUGCUUGAGGAAAAAUGAAUUACACGUUUAAUAUGUGCAAAGGACUUGGACAUGCUUGUAUUUGUGAACCAUUCACUUUCUGUGGUGGUGUGGGGAUUUUAUUAUCCCAGAUUAGGAAAAAGAUAACUUAGUAAGUUAUGUGAUUCAUUCGAGAUUACACAGACUGCAAGCCACUGAGCUGGGACCAGCCUCAGAGUUGAGCCUUUUCUAAGACACCAUAGAACCUGUAAAUAACAGGGAUCAGACCCACCUGGGCCCUUAAUCCUAUGGGAGUGGUUUCCAUUCAUAACUGACAGUGGCCAAGGGCACAGCUCAAACCAACCAGACAUGAGGCCUAUUCGUGCAUGUGCAGGGCCCUUCUCACUUUGCAACCACGCUGGCUGCGUGCCCCAUCAUAAUGGGGCUUCUGAUGUUGUUUAAUGCAAAUCUUCCACUUUGGACCCCAAACUUUGGUGCCUGGAUUUGUAGAACAGCUUUUGCUUUUUGUUGGAGUCUAAGGAUGUCUUAGGGUACUGCCAGCACACACAGUGACUCUCCACACCCUGCUCCCUUUUGGCCACCUGCCCCACUAAGGUCCCCUUUGUCCCAGCUAUGAUAUGAGAGGAUUCAAGGCUCAGUGAUUUUCUAAUCAUCACCAAGGUUUUGAUUGCUUCCAAGAGUUGGAAGGUCUGGAGGAACAAUGGCUAAAUAUUCUUUCCAGUUAAAUUUAGGGUGUACCCAGGUCCGCCUCCCCUCAUCAACAUCUGUACAUGCGCAAAAGCUGGCACACACAUACACAAACACACACACACACACACACACACACACACACACACACACAGAGAGAGAGAGACUGAAUAAGAAGCUUCAUACUACUUGGCAGCCAGAAUAAAUGAGCGUGACUUCCCCAGAAUGAGUCCUUCCAGUACACCUAAGAGUGUUUCAAGUAAAGAGAGCUCGCUUAAAGUGAGGGCAUCACAUUCCAAUUUGUCCCCUUGAACACAAAUCUAACUCACUGAUCUGGGGUUGUGUUUCCUAAUAUUUGGACAAUAGUAAGCACACAGUUGCAUAUUAGAUUCCUAAGCCUAAUCUCUGUCGUUUAAUGUCUUGCUGACCAAACCUGUUUUAUCAAUGCCCUGAGGCAGUGAGAACACCCCCACUCUUCUCCCCACAAUCAGGAGAUUGAGCUGUUGUCCUGUGGCAUCAAAGGCAGUCCACUGUGGCAUCAUUACAGGUGUGAUGCUGGAAAGAGCCGGUGGCUUUAUCAACUGGUUCCUUCUGGAAAAGACUUUGAAUGAGAGUAUGCAACAUUCUCGGACACAAAAAGUAAACAUCAUGAGAAAUAGAUUAGAUACCUUACGACAGGUGAUACAUUUUAGCUUCCACUGAGAGCUAAUAGUCAUGUUCCUUUUGAGUCUCCUCUCAGGUGACAAGUAAAUAAUUCUUCACUUGUAAAAACAAAUAAUUUUUAUAAAUUAUGGAACCCCAUGGAUAUUUGCUGUUAUCACUAUUAUCAUUCACAUAGAUGAAGAUAUUUCUACAGGAAGUGAGCCCUUGGAUCAUUCAAUAUUUGAAUUUAAACCUUUUAUUGGUCAUGACCUAGAGACAAAGUCUAAAAAUAUUUCCAGAGAAUGAGUAUAAUUUAUUUCUAAGCUCAGACAUAACAAGGCAAAUUAUCAAGAAGUGUUUAAUAAAAGCCACAUCACAGAGAAAUCUGGUGACAUUUGACUCUGCAAGACCAUUUGGGGCCUGCCUGUCAAUUUCCUAGCUUGUUGCUUUGCAUCCCAGCUCAGCAUCUGGGGUAAGCUUUAACUUCUUUAUGGCCCUGCUGCGAUUUGGUCCCUCUACCAGAUCCCUCUGGGUCACUGAGUAGGUGCCGGGCCUCUUGAGGGGCUGUGAGAAGACUGAUGAGAGGCAUUAGCUCAGCCUCUCAGAGCAAAGUGGAGCUACAGGCAUGGCCAUCGGCAAGCAUGCUGUCCCCAGCCACCAAGGGACACAGCAGCAAGCCUCAGACAGACCUGAGGAGAAGAGAGGGCAUGACAGGCUGAAUGGUGCCCCCCAAAAGAUGGUGAAGUCCUAAUCUCCAGUACCUGUGAAUAAGAUCUUGUUUGGAAAUAGUCUUUGCAAAUGAUCAACUUAAAAUAAGGUCAUUAGGGUGGGAAGUAAUCUAAUAUUACUACUAUCCUUAUAAGAGGAGGAAAUUUGGACACAGAGCUGGACACAUGGAGGGAAGAUGAUUUCAAGGCAUAGGAAGAAGAUGACCACCUUCAAGCCAAGGAAUACCCAAGGCUGCCAGAAGCCAGAAAAGAGGCCAGGAACAGAUUCUUCUUCAUCACUGUCAGAAGGAACCAACCCUGCUAGCACCUUGAUCUCGGACUUCAAGCCUCAGAACUGAGUGACAAUGAGUGUCCAUUAUCUGAGACAGUCAGUGUCCUUUGUCACAGCAACCCCAGGGAACUCAGGAAUUUCCUGGAAUGUUUGCCAAAAUGAAGACUCCCAGAGCCUCCACAGAUCUACAGAAUCAGAAUCUUUCAUGAUGGGACUCAGAAUUCUUCAAUCAAUCAUCCACCCUCCUCCUCCCUACCCCAGAAUACUGAUGCAGACAGCCUGGCCACCCUUUUUGGAGAAACACUAUUGCAGAUGACCGAUUAAAGUAUAAGAGUCUUACAAUGGUAUGAACAAAUUGAUCAUGCUUGUGCCCAGACUAUGAGCCAGUCCAAGAACAAAAGCAGUAUGAUUGUCUCCUUUUCUGUCUGUAAUAAUGGCAGGAUGAUCUGCCCAAUCCAUACCUCAUGGAGUAUUGAAAAGCUCUGCUGAGACUUAGCAUGAAACCAGAGCUACCAGGUUUAUGAACAUUUAAAGAGAGAGCUUUUCAUGGAAGCCAGCAGAGAACAUAGGAGCCAGAAGCUCUUUACACUCGGAGUCUGUUCAGACAUCAUACUGGCCAGAAAGAAGACUGCAGGAGGAUCAGAAGGGUUGAAGGACUUCAUUGGAGAAGGACAUCCACCAGUAAUAUGUUCUCCAUACUCCCUGAAAUGUCCUAGAGGAGCCUCUCAGACAUAGAAAUCUAGAAGGAAUUUCCCACCAUGUGCAGAAAUAUGAACUACACACAGCAGAUUUGCAACCUCUACAAGAAGAUGGUAGAAGACAUGAACAAUGAAUUGGAGAGAACCACUUCCUUUUAUCAAAGAAUAUUUUCUUCUAUGAGGAAGAGCUCAAGAAAGCUGGGCAGCAGUUCUGCUGACUGAGAUAAAGCUCCAUGAGCUAAGACAAGAAAAUGAUGGCAACAGACACACACAUGGGACUAGCUUGAAGGUGACACACAGUGGCAUGGCUCUGCACGUGCAUGGCUCUGCACGGAAAGGGAUCCCAUAACCAGACUCAGCAGAGAAGACUCUGACAGGAAGUAGAGGGUAUGCUGACUGUGAAGAGCUGAGGCGGAGGCUGGUGCAGGGGUAUGAUGUUUCUGUCUGGAGCCCAGGAAGCAGGGAGGAGGAGCUCCACAUCAGUGCACACUGGUGUGCAUCUGCGGGGGACCCCUGCACAAUCUGCAUGAUCAACCCCAACCUGGGUCCAUGUGAGCUGUCUGCUAAAAAGAUUGAGUUUCUGAGAUUAAUUGCUCUUGGCAGAGUCCAGGGCUGCACGAGGAGGCUCUGAGCCUGAGUCUGCCAGGGAAGAGGUUGAGUGGAAUCCAAGCUGAGAAGGACCUGCCCCUCUGCAGAUGCAGACUUCUGAAGAUGACUCAGUGGAUUGGAGACUGUCCCAAGGGCCACCUUGGGAAGCAUGUACUGAAGACAGCAGGGCCACAGAAGGGAAAGAGCCAGGGUCAACCUGACAGCCCCAAAGCAGAGUCACGCUCACCCAGGACGCUUGGAUGGAACAGGAACAGACCUGCUUUACAGAAUAUCCGUGAAACUGUAGACCCCAUCAGUUCCACUUAUUUCUUCUGGGUUCUUACACUGAAAAUCCAGGUUUCUCAGCUUGUACCUUUAGGGAGACCUUUCAGUCCUCUCCCCAUCUGCUGACAUUGACUAAACACAAAGGAGAGAGGGGGCCUCAGAGGACGGUCCCUGGGACCUUGGUGGGCAGGACCCAGCUUCCCUGUGCAGAAGGAAACUUGAAAUCAGGAGACUGAGCCUCACCCAGGGACAGGCCCCACUACUGUGCCCUGACAGGCCCUUGUGGAUAGAAAGGUAAAGGGCAUGGGCCCACUUGGACCCUGCGGUUUGCUGUGAGUCCAGCUGGGCCUGGUGUGGCCGAGCUCCAGGGUGCUAUCAGCCAUUUCUGGGUCCCUCAUGACCUGGGUGGAGACUAUCACCUCUAACUGCACAGUUAGCAGAGCAAAGUCAGGGACACUGUUUCUAGAACCUGGCUGGCUCCCCUCCCCCAGCACAACUGACUGUCUCUCCUGGUUGUCAGGCACUUAUGAGCAUUAGAGACAGAACACUCCUCAGGGUUCCAAGUGGUCAGUUGUGGCCCACAGGCCACUGGCAAGCAAAGGCAGAGCCACAGAGGGGCUGCUACUCCCCAGAAUGUCUCUCCAGUCACUCUGGAGCUGCUGGGGCUCUAGUGCUGGUGAGGGCUGAGAUCAUGAGAUAAAAUUGAAACAAACAAACAAAAAAUACAAAAAAUAAAUGAAA